CCUUUUCAGUCUUCCAUGUGAGAGGAUGAAAGAGAGCUCGCAGCAGAGGGAGGAGGCAGUUGUUUUGAAAGUUGUUUUGCGUUGGGAGCUGGUGGGAAAGUUCGGUCUUCCCCAUUUGGAAAAGGCAGGCUGGGUUCCGCUCCUGCACCACACGCGCUUUCCAUUUUUAGCUUCAUUCAGAGGCAGACAGAGCUCCUUCCUCUUCCUCUCCUUGUUUGUGACACUUUUCUGAGGCAGCUUUUCCACAGUGCCGAGGGUCUGGCGGCCAUGACCCCAGGCAUUCUGGGACACUGGACUGUGUGCCCAGAACAUUUUUCUGCCAUGAGAGGCUGCCCCCAAGUGUAACUCCAGCACUGUGAGGUUUCAGGGAUUGGCAGAGGGGACCAAGGGGACCAUGAAAAUGGACAUGGAGGAUGCGGAUAUGACUCUGUGGACAGAGGCUGAGUUUGAAGAGAAGUGUACAUACAUUGUGAACGACCACCCCUGGGAUUCUGGUGCUGAUGGCGGUACUUCGGUUCAGGCGGAGGCAUCCUUACCAAGGAAUCUGCUUUUCAAGUAUGCCACCAACAGUGAAGAGGUUAUU
rnacentral:lncRNA from 1 species